GGUGAGUUGCAUUCGUGUGGAGCAGUAUGUGGAGGGGUGUUGGGUGGGGGAAGUGAAGAUGAAAUUGAGAGAUUGAGAAAAAUUGGAUUCUGUGUUGGAAUGAUUCAAGGAAUGGCAAAAAGGGGAUUCAAUGAAGGUAAACAAGUGAUUGAGGCAAGAAAUUUGGCAUUACAAGAAUUGAAGUUUUUCAAGGAUAAAGAACUUGAUGCAAUUAUAACUUUCUUGAAUAUUUAAAUCUUAAAACUUUCUUGAAUAUUUAAAUCUCUUGAUUAUGUAUUAAUAAUGGUAUUUUCAAUAGAACUUAUAAUAAUUUAUGUCAAUAAUAAAUUUGUAAAAAGGUUGCGUAAAUAAUAGUUAUUUUUAAAUUUCAAUUUAAUUGGGAAAACAUUUUGAUAUAAUAAUUAAUUGGUUAAUAUUUUAUUUUAUAACACUGAAUAAGUGAGAUAUGUAAUAAAACAUUUUUACAGUUAUCAACCGCGAUCAAUUAAUGAUUGAUGAGUGUAAAUAUAUAUUAGUAUAUAAUUUAUUUAUUGUAGGUUAGGAUCAAAUUAGGAUUACGCUUUUUAGGUAUUCGUUUGAUAUGUUCUAUUUUGACUCCUAUAUUAAUUAGUGAUAUUUUUCAAAACUAUAACAAUAGAGUAUUAUUUCUCUCACUUUUAGUGGUGAAGAAUCCCCUUAUGUAAAUUUAAAAUUGUAUUACAUUAAUUCAAAAGUAUAUUUUCUGAUGCAUUCAUAUACAUCAAUUCAUGCAUAGAUGAGUCACACUCUUAUUUUAUCAGAAAUGAGUCUCUAAAUGGAUCUUCGUAAUAACCUCAUAUGCAUCAUAUCCUUUUGUAAGUGAGUAACACCUUCAUUUUGUCAUAAUUUAGUUCAGAGAUGCAUCUCUGUAAAAGUUAUGAAAGUAUACUGCUGUAAUCAUCCUUUAGACAGUGAAAUUUGACAUUUUUUCAAAAAUAUACUAAUAUAAUAAGCCAUGCAUAAUAAGUAUACUAUCAUAACUAAUUUGUUAUAUCAAUUAAAUCAUUGUUGUUUGUAAAUGUGUCACAUGCAAGUAUACAUGUAUGUUUAAAAGUAGCAAGUGAUCAAAAGUAAGGAUAUCGUAUCCAUAGGGAGUGAAUGUUACUUAGGUUGAUUUUGUAAUAAACUAUCUUCUGGUUUUAAGCAUGAGUAAGAAUAAAAAUAAUAGAUGAAUUUCACAAGUUCAAUCUUUCCUUUUUAAACCAGAUCUAAAAAAUGUAAAAUACGAGUGAAACAAUAUCAGAGAGUGCAUGCUGAGCUAAGGUCCAUUAAUGUUAACAAUGUGAAAAUAUGUUCAUGAUGUGUUGUGUCGUGCCAUAAAAGAUCAGAGUUAUCUAGAAGUGUAUUUCUACAACAUCAAAACAUGCAUUACUAGGGCAAGGGAAUAUAUCUCUAAGUCACACUUAUAACCCUAAAAUACAUCUAUUAUAUUCUGAAACCUCUUAUAGUUGUAGCUCCUUAUAUUUAAGUGAACUAAUCAAGUGAAUAUAUUUAUCAUACUCUUUUCAACUAUUUUUAUUACGAAAUCCACUUGUUCUUGGAUCUCUCACAACAACAAGAUGUUGUUUUUUUCUAAGUUGAUCACUCAAAGAAUCAGAUUUAUAAGUAAGUUAACACUUAAUAAAACAAGACACUAAAUAACACUUCACUUAACAUAAAAAUAUUAUAACAUUAACUUUCCUUUACUCAACAUUCAAAAGGUUUAGCUCAUGAUAAGCCUAAUACAAACUAUAAACAUGGUUCUCAUAAUAUACAUUCUUAAACAAAUACUAAAAAAACAAAUGUAAAUCUAAGAGUGACUUGAAGACUCCUUGAGAGAAAUAUUCAGCAAUGGAUGACUCCAGUCGCGCCACAACUCAACAGCUGGUACAAGAAAUAGCGAGAAGAAGACAUCUCCUUUCUUUCCACUGAACUCACACUAUUAUAUUUUAUUUUGCAUAUAUUCUUGGAAUGGUGGACUCUUUCUUUAUCAUCGACAAGGUCUACUUAUAAAACUUCCCUAGGAUUUCUUGUGAUGUCUUAGAUCAUGGGCCAAAAAUAAGGAAAUCACAUUAAGCUCAAUAUGUGAAUCAACGCCAUCACAUCUUUUCAUUUACUUAUCAAGCAAGGUAUAAGGUACAAGGGAACAUUUGAGGAAGACAAUGCAUCUUCAAGAAGACUACCACAAUAGGGUAUAGGCAACACUGUCCUUUCUGCAGGGCGUGUAGAGUAGCAGAUAUACUAUUGUACCUUUUUGUCUUCUAGCUCCUCUUGGUUUUAUCCACUUAAUUCAAAUUAAUUUUCUUUACUCCACAACAAUGUUUCUCUCCAACACGUCAUUCCUUCCAAGCUUUCCCUAUGAACACAACUGCUUUUUCCAUUUAACUUCUUUGGCAAAGUUCAUCUUCCUGCUUCAGCAUGCACUCCAGGUGAUGCCCACUUCUGUCUUGCCUUAGCGUGAUAUAGCUAACCUUAAAAUCAAGCAACAAACAUAUCAAACUAACAAAAGGGAUCACUUAUUAUGCUCCAAGCUAAUUUCUAUAAAACAACUAAAAUGAACUUAAAGUAACAACUCAAGGGCAAUAAAGCUGACAAUUUGAAAGAACUAAGGUAUGCAAUUACUCACAAAAUGUGGAUUAUCACACCCAGAAACUUGAAUCAUUAGUUGUCCUUAAAUGAUGCAACAAAUAAUGACAGAGAAAACUCCCUACCAAAUGACCAUCUUUCCAGUGAACCUAACUCAUCGACAACUCAAAAAUCAUCUCAAAGGACUAUUUUCAAACAUUGGCAUAACUCAUCCCUGAAGCUAGAUCAUAAGUGUGUGUGUGUGUGUGUGUGUGUGUGUGUGUGUGUGCGCGCGCGACAACUCAAAAAUCAUCUCAAAGGACUAUUUUCAAACAUUGGCAUAACUCAUCCCUGAAGCUAGAUCAUAAGUGUGUGUGUGUGUGUGUGUGUGUGUGUGUGUGUGUGCGCGCGCGCUAUGUGCAUUACUGAUCCAAUAUUGUCAUAUUCCUAGUAGAUUCUUCCUAAGUUUCUUAGAGCUUGGCUGACUUUUAAAGGAUUGUAGUCAGUUUAUUUAUCUAUUUUUUUAACAACAAAAACAUAAGAUUAAAACCAAAACAAACAAAGUCUUCAUUAAUUAAAAUAUGGUUGAGAAACAGCCAAACCACAACAAUAAAACAUUAAAAUAACAACCUAAAAACAAUAAACCAUAUGAUAAAUGAGAGUGGGUGGGAUGAAGGACAAAGUCAUGACAGUGACUGCCACUCCCUCAGACAUAAAGUAAGGACAGGGUCCUCAUUGUCAUUUGAUGAAAUGGGGCGCAUCAUUUGUUGUCCUUAAAAGGUUCAAGAGAAAUACCAGCUAGGCAUUAAGCCUAUUGCUCUUCCUCAAAUAAUGUUAUUCCUUCUUCUUUUUCCUAGCCUCCUUCUGCGAAAGCUCUUUCAGGGUUUCUUUCUUUGCAGUUUUGGAUGCCUCAGAGGCAACUUCCGUCAUGACAGUUGCAGGUACCUUCAAUGGCUUGGAUGGAACUUUCUUGGAUGGAGAUUUUGGCAUUGCUGGACGCUUAGUAUUAACAGGGGGUUUCUUCUUCUGAACCACUUUUACUGGGGUAAUCGUGAUAACAUUCACUAGUUUCUUCACCUUCGCAGGAGUGGCGAUUGGGGUUGCAUCAACAUCAAUCUCUUCCUCAUAUUAUUCUGCAGACUUAUAUUUUUUACAAAGGAAGAACACAUAAAAACCAGAAUUUUUGCUAACGAUUGAGGUAAGGGUGGGAAGUUAUUUCAAUAAUAAGAGGUGUGGUUGAAGGGUAGAUAGAGGGACCCUUAACCUCCUUAGGGUUGGAUGUUUUGCUUCAUAAUUUUGAAUUGUGAUGCUAUGAUGGUUGUUAUAUGAUGAACUUUUUGUGCCUUAUAUGUGUGUAUUUAUUUAUUUUGAUGAUUGAACUUAUAUCGACCAUUGUCACACUUUCGAAUGUUUUAAGCAUAAUCUUAAGAUAAUGAUUUGAUGAUUUAAUUGUGUUAAAAUUUGUAAAUUAACUUUAGAUAAUUGGAGUAUUGCAUGGGUUAUAAUUUUCUGAGCAUUUGGGUUUUUACGGAAUCAAAAUCCAAGGUUCGGAAGACCUCCAACGCUGAAAAAUGCAUAAAAUUUUGCAUUUUUGUCUGUCACGACCGCGCUCAACCCCUCCCUAGGGGGGGGGGGAAUCCGUUUCUCGUGUUUUUUGAUCGAAAUUGUUUUAACCAUAGCUUUUGAUCUGUAAGUCCAAAUCGAGUGCCGUUCGAAGCAUUGGAAAACCAUUGCAAAUUACUAUCUAAUGAAAUUGUUUUUAGGGGAUGGAUAUUUUGUGAUAAUAUGAGUAUUUGAAUACAUGGGUUGUUGUAUUAUGAUGAAAUGUUUACAUGAUGCUAUUAAAUGAUUGGUUAAGCAUGACUAUGGUUGUGGUGUUGUGUGAAUGAUGUUACUUACUUUUAUGUAUAUGCAUGUCGAGUUGGUGUUGAAUACAUUGAAUAAGUGUUGUAUUUAUAUUAAUUAUUGUUGCAUAUGAUGUUGAUGAGAAUUUUAGAUGUUAUUGCAUACGAUGUUAAUGAUAAUUGAGAUGUUUUUGCGUAUGAUGUUAAUGAUAAUUGAGAUGUGGUUGCGUAUGAUGUCGAUGAUAAUUGAGAUGUUAUCGUGUAUGAUGUUAAUGAUGAAUUAGGUGUGAGAAUGUGAUGGGUUGUUGUGCAUGAUUGUGUAGAUGUUGUACUCUAUUCUUUAUUCUAUACCGUUUAUUAUUGAAAUAAAUUCUCACCCCCUUCUAUUUGAAUGUUGCCCUUACAUGGGCACCGUGCAGAUACUCAGGAGUUGAUCUCGCAGAAGCAAGUGGAAGCUAGCUCAUAGAGUUACUUCUUAGUUUAUUGUUUAAUUAGAAGUGUCUUACCCUGAUUAUGUAACAUCGGUUUGAGAAUGCUUAUUUAGCUUCUAAUGUCAUGUUUGUGUCGAAGUAUUAUAACUGAUGUGAUUGUUGAGUUGAUUUAUACAACUCUUUUUGUUGCGUUACGAAAGUUGAAAUUAUUAUGUUUUAAUCGAUUUGAUGAUAUUUCGGUUGCGAUGACACUUUAAAAUGGAAGUGAGCAUGUGAUGUCAGGUUUCAUGUGACUUUAUGUAACAUGUGUUACGGAGCAGGAUUUGUUUUGGAUGUGUGUGACACCCUUGUGGUUGUGAUUUUAAUCGAAUUAUGUGAUGAUUGUAUGUGGGGUUUGGAAGAGUUUUAUAGCAGGUGCACCUGUAGAAGUAGGCGCAACGAGGAAGAGGCAGACUUGGUAGAGGAGGAGUCUAGCGCAGUAAAAUGGGGACGAUAACUAUUGUUCUUCAUGCUUUUUCAAAAUCUCAAAACUGUUUAAAAACAACCAAUCACAUUAUACUUUUAAUAACUAUAUAUAUAUAUAUAUAUAUAUAUAUAUAUUAUAUAUAUAUAUAUAUAUAUAUAUAUAUAUAUAUAUAUAUAUAUAUAUAUAUAUAUAUAUAUAUAUAUAUAUAUAUAUAUACUAUGUUUUUUCAUAUGCAAUGGUGUCUCAUACUUGCAUUAUACUACAACAUAUUACAACGAUCUUUUACUCCUAAAUUAUUGAAUGCUACAACAUUUUUUUACUCCUAAAUCAUUGAACAAAAGUACUCAAAAGUACUCAACGCAAAAAUGCUUUAAUUAUCAUUUUAGCAUGUAAAUUCUACUAUAUCUAAAAUUCUAAAUUCAGUAUCACAAAUGAUUAAGCAGACCUAAUUCAUAUCAAAUUAAGUUAAUUCAACAAAAUUUUAAAUAUUUAUAUAAUUUCUAUUAGAUUUAAACUUGAAUAUUAUAUAUUAUAAAAUCUAUUCAUACCAAAUUAAAUUAAGCAUAUUCGUUUUAUUUUAAAUUAGGUUAAUCAAACAAAAUAUUUUGACCUAACAAUUCAAGAUGAAGAAAAUACCAAUGAAAAAGUAAAAAUAUCAAUCUAAAAAAUUCGAAUCACAAAUUAUAGAAAAAAAAUUGAAGAUCAUAGACCAUAAAUCGAAUACCGCUGAAUAAAAAAUCAAAGAUUGCACAAUUUUCUCUUCAUUACAUUUUCUCGGUGUGUGUAUGAGAGGAGAUUGUGUGAACUUUGUCAUAGAGAGAGAAGAAUAAGAUAAAAUUGAUUAUUUUCAAUUUUGCAUGUGUUUCAUUAAAAAAUAAAAACCAAAACAACAUUUUAACUCUUUCACUUUUUUAAUUUUCAAAAGUCAAAAACACACAACAGUUUUUAAAAAUUAUAUUUUAAAAAAGGAAUCAAACGAGUCCUAAUACCCAAGAUCACACCAUUUAAAAAUAAUCCCACAUUCAAUAAUGUAACACACUUUUAAAAGAAAGAGAGUAUUAAAGAAAAAAACCAACUCCAUGCAGAUAAUCCGUGAUGGUUGGAUCAUGUCGGAUAGUACUAAUAAAAAAAAGAGCUUGUUUUGGCUGCUUCGAACUCAACACUUUGCACCUCUGUCCUCCAAUUGCUUCCCACUCUCGCAUCUAUAAUUCAUUCUAAUACUUUACUAGUAUUUCCCAUGUGCCUAAUUCACUCACAAACAACAACCUCAAUAAUUAUCAAUUAGAGUGAUUAAAGACAUGACAUUAGCAGCCAAAUUUGCAUUAGUUGAAAUUCAACAUUCUAGAAUAAAGCUAUAAAUAUCAUAAAUAAGGAUCACCAUUUCUCACUUAUUUCAUUCAAUCUCCUUUCUCUCUCUUCUUCGUCUUUCAAUGGCUGCUAUAACCUCCCACCUCGCCAUUCUAUCAAAUCAACACCCUUCCCACUUACAACUCAAGCCCACCACCGUCAGAAUGAGUAUGACUCAACAAACUCGCAACCCACGUCUCCAUUGGGCUUCUUUACAGGCCGACAUCGAGGCCCAUCUUAAAUCUUCCAUUACAAUCAAACAGCCUCUCGAGGUUUUCGAGCCCAUGCAUCACCUUGUUUUCUCUGCGCCAGAAACCACCGUGCCGGCUUUAUGCCUCGCCGCAUGCGAGCUUGUCGGCGGUCAACGCCACCAAGCCAUAUCCGCGGCUUCGGCUUUGUUACUAAUGGAGGCGGCUACUUAUACUCACGAGCAUCUUCCACUCACAGACAGGCCCAAGGCUAAGCCCGAGCCAGCUGUGAAGAAUCAUGUUUUCGGGCCUAACGUGGAGCUUCUAACUGGCGAUGGAAUGGUCCCGUUUGGAUUUGAACUGUUAGCUAGAUCCGACGGUGGAGAAAAUUCGGAACAGAUCUUGCGGGUGAUGGUUGAGAUUUCGCGGGUUGUGGGCUCAACGGGGGUCAUAGAUGCGCAGUACAGAAAAACAAUGGAUACCAGAUCGGACGGUGAGGAGGUAUGCCACGUGGAAGAAAUCAUGCGUAUGGUGGAGAAAUACGAAGGUGAGUUGCAUUCGUGUGCAGCAGUAUGUGGAGGGGUGUUGGGUGGGGGAAGCGAAGAUGAAAUUGAGAGAUUGAGAAAAAUUGGAUUCUGUUUUGGAAUGAUUCAAGGAAUGGCAAAAAGGGGAUUCAAUGAAGGUAAUGAAGUGAAUGAGGCAAGAAAUUUGGCAUUACAAGAAUUGAAGUUUUUCAAGGAUAAAGAGCUUGAUGCAAUUAAAAUUUUAUUGAAUAUUUAAAUAUCUUAAUUAUAUUGUAAUAUGCAUGUGUCAAAAAAAA
rnacentral:lncRNA from 1 species